UACGAAGGGAGCUAGCGUUGUUCGGAAUCACUGGGCGUAAAGGGUGCGUAGGCGGGUCUUUUAAGUCAGGGGUGAAAUCCUGGAGCUCAACUCCAGAACUGCCUUUGAUACUGAAGAUCUUGAGUCCGGGAGAGGUGAGUGGAACUGCGAGUGUAGAGGUGAAAUUCGUAGAUAUUCGCAAGAACACCAGUGGCGAAGGCGGCUCACUGGCCCGGUACUGACGCUGAGGCACGAAAGCGUGGGGAGCAAACAGG
rnacentral:rRNA from 1 species